CACGCCGUAAACGAUGGAUACUAGCUGUUGGGGGCAACUUCAGUGGCUAAGCGAAAGUGAUAAGUAUCCCACCUGGGGAGUACGUUCGCAAGAAUGAAACUCAAAGGAAUUGACGGGGGCCCGCACAAGCGGUGGAGCAUGUGGUUUAAUUCGAUGAUACGCGAGGAACCUUACCAAGGCUUAAAUGUAGAUUGACAGGUUUGGAAACAGACUUUUCUUCGGACAAUUUACAAGGUGC
rnacentral:rRNA from 1 species